AGAGUUUGAUCCUGGCUCAGGACGAACGCUGGCGGCAGGCCUAACACAUGCAAGUCGAACGCACUCUUCGGAGUGAGUGGCAGGCGGGUGAGUAACGCGUGGGAAUCUACCCAGUACUACGGAAUAACUCAGGGAAACUUGUGCUAAUACCGUAUACGCCCUCAGGGGGAAAGAUUUAUCGGUAUUGGAUGAGCCCGCGUUUGAUUAGCUAGUUGGUGAGGUAACGGCUCACCAAGGCGACGAUCAAUAGCUGGUCUGAGAGGAUGAUCAGCCACACUGGGACUGAGACACGGCCCAGACUCCUACGGGAGGCAGCAGUGGGGAAUAUUGGACAAUGGGCGCAAGCCUGAUCCAGCCAUGCCGCGUGAGUGAUGACGGCCCUAGGGUUGUAAAGCUCUUUCAGCGGUGAAGAUAAUGACGGUAACCGUAGAAGAAGCCCCGGCUAACUUCGUGCCAGCAGCCGCGGUAAUACGAAGGGGGCUAGCGUUGUUCGGGAAUAACUGGGCGUAAAGCGCGCGUAGGCGGAUUAGUCAGUCAGGGGUGAAAUCCCGGGGCUCAACCCCGGAACUGCCUUUGAUACUGCUAAUCUUGAGUUCGAGAGAGGUGAGUGGAAUUCCGAGUGUAGAGGUGAAUUUCGUAGAUAUUCGGAGGACACCAGUGGCGAAGGCGGCUCACUGGCUCGAUACUGACGCUGAGUGCGAAGCGUGGGGAGCAAACAGGAUUAGUGACCCUGGUUAGUCCACGCCGUAACGAUGGAAGCUAGCCGUCCGGGCUGUUUACAGUUCGGUGGCGCAGUUACGCAUUUAAAGCUUUCCCGGCUUGGGAGUGUACGGUCGCAAGAAUUUAAAACUUCAAGGAAAUUGAACGGGGCCCGCACAAGCGUGUGAGCAUAGUGUGUUUAAUUGAAGCACGCCGCCGGACCUUACAGGCUGGACAUCCGGAUGCCGGGUCCGGAUGGAUUCCCUCCAAUUAAGCUGAUCCGGUACAGGUCUCUCAUGCUGCCCAAACUCUUGUCCCUUGGAAUGGUGGUAUAAAAUCCGC
rnacentral:rRNA from 1 species